GACAGAGGGUGCAAACGUUAUUCGGAAUUACUGGGCGUAAAGCGCGUGUAGGCGGCACGGCAAGUCGGAUGUGAAAGCCCGCGGCUCAACCGUGGAAGUGCACUCGAAACUGCCGAGCUAGAGUCUCGGAGAGGAAGGUGGAAUGCUUGGUGUAGAGGUGAAAUUCGUAGAUAUCAAGCAGAACACCUGUGGCGAAGGCGGCCUUCUGGACGAUGACUGACGCUGAGACGCGAAAGCGUGGGGAGCAAACAGG
rnacentral:rRNA from 1 species